rnacentral:rRNA from 1 species
UGCAAGUCGAGCGGUAGCACAGAGAGCUUGCUCUCGGGUGACGAGCGGCGGACGGGUGAGUAAUGUCUGGGAAACUGCCUGAUGGAGGGGGAUAACUACUGGAAACGGUAGCUAAUACCGCAUAACGUCGCAAGACCAAAGUGGGGGACCUUCGGGCCUCAUGCCAUCAGAUGUGCCCAGAUGGGAUUAGCUGGUAGGUGGGGUAACGGCUCACCUAGGCGACGAUCCCUAGCUGGUCUGAGAGGAUGACCAGCCACACUGGAACUGAGACACGGUCCAGACUCCUACGGGAGGCAGCAGUGGGGAAUAUUGCACAAUGGGCGCAAGCCUGAUGCAGCCAUGCCGCGUGUGUGAAGAAGGCCUUCGGGUUGUAAAGCACUUUCAGCGGGGAGGAAGGCGAUAAGGUUAAUAACCUCGUCGAUUGACGUUACCCGCAGAAGAAGCACCGGCUAACUCCGUGCCAGCAGCCGCGGUAAUACGGAGGGUGCAAGCGUUAAUCGGAAUUACUGGGCGUAAAGCGCACGCAGGCGGUCUGUCAAGUCGGAUGUGAAAUCCCCGGGCUCAACCUGGGAACUGCAUUCGAAACUGGCAGGCUAGAGUCUUGUAGAGGGGGGUAGAAUUCCAGGUGUAGCGGUGAAAUGCGUAGAGAUCUGGAGGAAUACCGGUGGCGAAGGCGGCCCCCUGGACAAAGACUGACGCUCAGGUGCGAAAGCGUGGGGAGCAAACAGGAUUAGAUACCCUGGUAGUCCACGCUGUAAACGAUGUCGAUUUGGAGGUUGUGCCCUUGAGGCGUGGCUUCCGGAGCUAACGCGUUAAAUCGACCGCCUGGGGAGUACGGCCGCAAGGUUAAAACUCAAAUGAAUUGACGGGGCCCGCACAAGCGGUGGAGCAUGUGGUUUAUUCGAUGCACGCGAAGAACCUUACCUGGUCUUGACAUC